UACGUAGGGCGCAAGCGUUGUCCGGAAUUAUUGGGCGUAAAGAGCUCGUAGGUGGUUUGUUACGUCUGCUGUGAAAACCUAGGGCUUAACCCUGGGCCUGCAGUGGAUACGGGCAGACUAGAGGUAGGUAGGGGAGAAUGGAAUUCCCGGUGUAGCGGUGAAAUGCGCAGAUAGUCGGGAGGAACACCGGUGGCGAAGGCGGUUCUCUGGGCCUUACCUGACACUGAGGAGCGAAAGCGUGGGGAGCGAACAGG
rnacentral:rRNA from 1 species